GAGGCUCGCGGGGUCCCACAGCACGGCCUCCCGCCUGCGCGCGACGCCCGCGGGCACCCG
rnacentral:tRNA from 1 species